UAAGGAAUAUUGCGCAAUGGGCGAAAGCCUGACGCAGCGACGCCGCGUGGGGGAUGAAGGUCUUCGGACUGUAAACCCCUUUCGGGAGGGAAGAUGGAAUGGGGUAACCCAUUCGGACGGUACCUCCAGAAGCAGCCACGGCUAACUUCGUGCCAGCAGCCGCGGUAAUACGAAGGUGGCAAGCGUUAUUCGGAUUUACUGGGCGUACAGGGAGCGUAGGCGGUUCGGUAAGCCCUUUGUGAAAUCUCCAGGCUUAACCUGGAACAGUCGGAGGGGACUGCCGGGCUAGAGGACGGGAGAGGAGCGCGGAAUUCCCGGUGUAGCGGUGAAAUGCGUAGAGAUCGGGAGGAAGGCCGGUGGCGAAGGCGGCGCUCUGGAACGUUUCUGACGCUGAGGCUCGAAAGCGUGGGGAGCAAACAGGAUUAGAUACCCAAGUAGUCCCUGAGCGGGCUGGCAAGGCGCAU
rnacentral:rRNA from 1 species